AGUCGAGCGAACGGACGAGAAGCUUGCUUCUCUGAUGUCAGCGGCGGACGGGUGAGUAACACGUGGAUAACCUACCUAUAAGACUGGGAUAACUUCGGGAAACCGGAGCUAAUACCGGAUAAUAUUUUGAACCGCAUGGUUCAAAAGUGAAAGACGGUCUUGCUGUCACUUAUAGAUGGAUCCGCGCUGCAUUAGCUAGUUGGUAAGGUAACGGCUUACCAAGGCAACGAUGCAUAGCCGACCUGAGAGGGUGAUCGGCCACACUGGAACUGAGACACGGUCCAGACUCCUACGGGAGGCAGCAGUAGGGAAUCUUCCGCAAUGGGCGAAAGCCUGACGGAGCAACGCCGCGUGAGUGAUGAAGGUCUUCGGAUCGUAAAACUCUGUUAUUAGGGAAGAACAUAUGUGUAAGUAACUGUGCACAUCUUGACGGUACCUAAUCAGAAAGCCACGGCUAACUACGUGCCAGCAGCCGCGGUAAUACGUAGGUGGCAAGCGUUAUCCGGAAUUAUUGGGCGUAAAGCGCGCGUAGGCGGUUUUUUAAGUCUGAUGUGAAAGCCCACGGCUCAACCGUGGAGGGUCAUUGGAAACUGGAAAACUUGAGUGCAGAAGAGGAAAGUGGAAUUCCAUGUGUAGCGGUGAAAUGCGCAGAGAUAUGGAGGAACACCAGUGGCGAAGGCGACUUUCUGGUCUGUAACUGACGCUGAUGUGCGAAAG
rnacentral:rRNA from 1 species